rnacentral:rRNA from 1 species
AUUGAACGCUGGCGGCAUGCCUUACACAUGCAAGUCGAACGGUAACAGGUCUUCGGAUGCUGACGAGUGGCGAACGGGUGAGUAAUACAUCGGAACGUGCCUAGUAGUGGGGGAUAACUACUCGAAAGAGUGGCUAAUACCGCAUGAGAUCUACGGAUGAAAGCAGGGGAUCGCAAGACCUUGUGCUACUAGAGCGGCCGAUGGCAGAUUAGGUAGUUGGUGGGAUAAAAGCUUACCAAGCCGACGAUCUGUAGCUGGUCUGAGAGGACGAUCAGCCACCACGGGGCUGAGACGCGGCCCAGACUCCGACGGGAGGCAGCAGUGGGGAAUUUUGGACGAUGGGCGCAAGGCUGAUCCAGCAAUGCCGCGUGCAGGAUGAAGGCCUUCGGGUUGUAAACUGCUUUUGUACGGAACGAAAAGCCCUGGGUUAAUACCCUGGGGUCAUGACGGUACCGUAAGAGUAAGCACCGGCUAACUACGUGCCAGCCGCCGCAGUAAGAC